rnacentral:rRNA from 1 species
CCUACGGGUGGCAGCAGUGGGGAAUAUUGCACAAUGGGCGCAAGCCUGAUGCAGCCAUGCCGCGUGUGUGAAGAAGGCCUUCGGGUUGUAAAGCACUUUCAGCGGGGAGGAAGGCGGUGAGGUUAAUAACCUCAUCGAUUGACGUUACCCGCAGAAGAAGCACCGGCUAACUCCGUGCCAGCAGCCGCGGUAAUACGGAGGGUGCAAGCGUUAAUCGGAAUUACUGGGCGUAAAGCGCACGCAGGCGGUCUGUCAGGUCGGAUGUGAAAUCCCCGGGCCCAACCUGGGAACUGCAUUCGAAACUGGCAGGCUAGAGUCUUGUAGAGGGGGGUAGAAUUCCAGGUGUAGCGGUGAAAUGCGUAGAGAUCUGGAGGAAUACCGGUGGCGAAGGCGGCCCCCUGGACAAAGACUGACGCUCAGGUGCGAAAGCGUGGGGAGCAAACAGGAUUAGAUACCCCUGUAGUC